rnacentral:rRNA from 1 species
UACGUAGGGUCCGAGCGUUGUCCGGAAUUAUUGGGCGUAAAGAGCUCGUAGGCGGUCUGUCGCGUCGGCUGUGAAAACACGGGCUCAACUCCGUGCCUGCAGUCGAUACGGGCAGACUAGAGUUCGGUAGGGAGACUGGAAUUCCUGGUGUAGCGGUGAAAUGCGCAGAUAUCAGGAGGAACACCGGUGGCGAAGGCGGGUCUCUGGGCCGAAACUGACGCUGAGGAGCGAAAGCGUGGGGAGCGAACAGG